rnacentral:rRNA from 1 species
UGGUGGAGUGACUUGUCUGGUUAAUUCCGUUAACGAACGAGACCUUAACCUGCUAAAUAGUUACACGAAUUUCGAUUCGUGGGCAACUUCUUAGAGGGACUAUCGGUGUUUAACCGAUGGAAGUUUGAGGCAAUAACA